GACGAACGCUGGCGGCGUGCUUAACACAUGCAAGUCGAACGGAAAGGCCCCUUUGUGGGUACUCGAGUGGCGAACGGGUGAGUAACACGUGAGUAACCUGCCCCUGCCUUCGGGAUAACUUCAGGCAACUGGGGCGAAUACCGGAUAGGAAUCCUUUCCUCAUGGUGGGGGUUGGAAAGCUUCGGCGGUUUUGGAUGGACUCGCGGCUUAUCAGCUUGUUGGUGGGGUAGUGGCUUACCAAGGCUUUGACGGGUAGCCGGCCUGGGGGGGCGACCGGCCACAUUGGGACUGGGAUACGGCCCAGACUCCUACGGGAGGCAGCAGUGGGGAAUAUUGCACAAUGGGCGGAAGCCUGAUGCAGCAACGCCGCGGGCGGGAUGACGGCCUUCGGGUUGUAAACCGCUUUCAGCAGGGGCGAAGCUUGUGGUGACGGUACCUGCAGAAGAAGCACCGGCUAACUACGUG
rnacentral:rRNA from 1 species